rnacentral:tRNA from 1 species
GUCCCAGUAGCUAACACUUAAAAGCGUUGGCCUUGUAAACCAAAGACGGGCUAAGCCCCUGGGUCA